AGAGUUUGAUCCUGGCUCAGAUUGAACGCUGGCGGCAGGCUUAACACAUGCAAGUCGAGCGGUAGCACGGGGGAGCUUGCUCCCCGGGUGACGAGCGGCGGACGGGUGAGUAAUGUCUGGGAAACUGCCUGAUGGAGGGGGAUAACUACUGGAAACGGUAGCUAAUACCGCAUAACGUCGCAAGACCAAAGAGGGGGACCUUCGGGCCUCUUGCCAUCAGAUGUGCCCAGAUGGGAUUAGCUAGUAGGUGGGGUAAUGGCUCACCUAGGCGACGAUCCCUAGCUGGUCUGAGAGGAUGACCAGCCACACUGGAACUGAGACACGGUCCAGACUCCUACGGGAGGCAGCAGUGGGGAAUAUUGCACAAUGGGCGCAAGCCUGAUGCAGCCAUGCCGCGUGUGUGAAGAAGGCCUUCGGGUUGUAAAGCACUUUCAGCGAGGAGGAAGGUGGUGAGCUUAAUACGUUCAUCAAUUGACGUUACUCGCAGAAGAAGCACCGGCUAACUCCGUGCCAGCAGCCGCGGUAAUACGGAGGGUGCAAGCGUUAAUCGGAAUUACUGGGCGUAAAGCGCACGCACGCGGUUUGUUAAGUCAGAUGUGAAAUCCCCGGGCUCAACCUGGGAACUGCAUUUGAAACUGGCAAGCUAGAGUCUCGUAGAGGGGGGUAGAAUUCCCGGUGUAGCGGUGAAAUGCUUAAAGAUCUGGAGGAAUACCGGUGGCGAAAGUGGCCCCUUGUACUAAUAUUGCUUUCCUGUUUUAUAACUUGGGA
rnacentral:rRNA from 1 species